rnacentral:tRNA from 1 species
GCUUAUGUAGCUCAGGGGUAGAGCACAUCCUUGGUAAGGAUGAGGUCGUGGGUUCAAUUCCCACCAUAAGCUCCA